AAAAAAAAAACUUCUAGCUAUGGCAAUCAUCAAAAUUCUCCACACUUUGUUUGGGAUUUUUGGUAAUAUUACUGGCUUGUUUCUCUUCUUAGCUCCAAUGAUAACAUUCAAGAGGGUUAUUAUGAAUAAAUCAACAGAGCAAUUCUCAGGCAUACCAUAUGUAAUGACACUUCUCAAUUGCUUGCUCUCUACUUGGUAUGGUCUUCCAUUUGUGUCACCAAACAACAUGUUGGUAUCAAUUAUCAAUGGGACAGGUGCUGGACUUGAGGCAUUCUAUGUGUUAGUUUUCCUCAUAUUUGCACCAAAGAAGGAAAAAGCAAAAAUCUCUGGGAUUCUAUUUGUUGUUCUUUCCAUCUUCUCAACUGUUGCAUUGGUCUCAAUGUUAGCUCUUCAUGACAAUAAAAGAAAGGUCUUUAGUGGCUUUGCUGCUGCUAUUUUCUCCAUCAUUAUGUAUGGUUCCCCUUUGUCAAUUAUGAGGCUAGUGAUCAAGACUAAAAGUGUAGAGUACAUGCCUUUCUUCUUGUCCUUGUUUGUCUUUCUAUGUGGUACCUCAUGGUUUGUCUAUGGAUUGCUUGGAAAAGACCCUUUCAUUGCAGUACCAAAUGGAGUUGGAAGUUUGUUAGGAACAGCACAAUUGAUAUUAUAUGCCAUUUAUAGGGGGAAAAAAGGACAAAGCAAAAAAGGUGAGGAAGAUGGAAGAGUAGAGAUGGAAUUAGAGAAGCCAUCUAACACCCAAAAUGGUGAUGCAAAAGCAUGAUGAAUUUAAUUAGAAUAUUCAAAUCCAAAAAAAAAAAAAAUGUAACCAAACUUUGUGUUAAUUUUUUUUUCCUAAUUGGAAGGAGUAUUCCUCAUCAAAUCUAAGUGUAUUUGUAAUAACCUAGACAUUAUUAGUAU
rnacentral:misc_RNA from 1 species